ACAUGGGUGUUGUUGCACCAUACCAACGAUAAGCCUGUCUUCCCCAUCACAUCAUGAAAGGUCAUGUUGAUGUUCAUUUAACCUCUGUCUCUCUCUUCCUCUGACUCCUCCCUUUCUCCUCUGUCUCUCUCUUCCUCUGACUCCUCUCUGUCUCUCUCUCUCUUUCUCCUCUGUCUCUCUCUUUCUCCUCAGAUCUCCAGGCUCAAAGCGUCAGUCCACCAGCUGAACUCUCAGUCAGACUGGUGAAUGGGACCACUUCCUGUUCUGGGACAGUGGAAGUCUUCAAUGAAGGAGAGUGGUUGGGUCUAUGUUCUGGGUGGUGGAGAAUGAUGAUAGAGGUCAAGGUUGUGUGUAGAGAGCUGGACUGUGGGAAUCCUGUAGCUGAAUCUGGAAUGCCUCUGCUUGAAGAUGGAAAACGAAGAGUCAUACUAGGUGGUUGCUAUGGAAAUGAGUCUUCUGUUAGACAGUGUGACAUUGUAAGAGGAGGACCUGGUGGCUGUAAUGGUAGAACUUAUCAUCAUGUGACCUGUUCAGAGUCUGUGCGGCUUGUGGAUGGAGCUGGUCUCUGCUCUGGGAGAGUGGAGGUGAAGUCCAAUCAGUCCUGGGCCUCAGUGUGUGAAGCUGACUUUGACCGGCAGGAUGCAGAGGUAGUCUGUAGGGAUCUUGGCUGUGGGGCUCCUGCAGCUCUACAGGGGGGGCUCUAUGGAGAAGGUGAGGGUCAGACCUGGGAUAAAGAGUUCCAGUGUAAAGGCAAAGAGUCCCUUCUCUUGGACUGUGACACCUCAGACAGAAA